UUCCUUCUGUGGCUUGUGUGAUGAGUGGAUUUUCCUGCCAGCGUGCGAGACGUGCUUCCCUCAAGCCUUGUUUAGACUACUGCACGUUACCUGCCUGGUG
rfam:Fukomys damarensis contig148614, whole genome shotgun sequence.